rnacentral:rRNA from 1 species
CCUACGGGUGGCUGCAGUCGAGAAUCAUUCACAAUGGGGGAAACCCUGAUGGUGCGACGCCGCGUGGGGGAAUGAAGGUCUUAUAGAUUGUAAAAUUCUUUUAUUUGGGAAGAAAAACUAAAGUAGGAAAUGACUUUAGUCUGACUGUACCAUUUGAAUAAGUAUCGGCUAACUAUGUGCCAGCAGCCGCGGUAAUACAUAGGAUGCAAGCGUUAUCCGGAUUUACUGGGCGUAAAACGAGCGCAGGCGGGUUAACAAGUUUGGUAUGAAAGGCUUUUGCUUAACGAAAGUUUGUAUCAAAAACUGUUAAUCUAGAGUGUAGUAGAGAGUUCUGGAAUUCCAUGUGGAGCGGUGGAAUGCGUAGAUAUAUGGAAGAACACCAGUGGCGAAGGCGAGAACUUAGGCUAUCACUGACGCUUAGGCUCGAAAGUGUGGGGAGCAAAUAGGAUUAGAUACCCCUGUAGUC